CUUUAAUUUGUUUAGUCUAGAAUAUAUAGAGCACACGUCAUUAUUUGCACAUGGAGUACACUCACUGACUGUACUCCGCGUUAGAGCAGCACGCGCGCGCCGCUUAUGUUAAUUAGCUGCGCACGACCAUGGUGUUUUUAUGAUCCAUGGUUCGAUCAAGCUGAUGUACAAACAAUGCAAGACAACACAGAAUGCAACAUGGCAAACAUUCUAUAUUGCUAUUGCGACCAUAUAUAAACUUGAUCUGCAGAGUGUUUUCACGGCAGAAAUGUUUGGGAACAAGUUAAAGUGCCGAAAUACAAGUAAACAAGAAAACCAUUAUUUUAAAAUACUUGUCCGUCAACAAAGCAACACGUGAAAACACCCUAUUUUUCCUGGCGGUCGUUUUUAACUGAGUACUUAUAGUACAAUUUAUAAAGCGUGCGCGCAAUGCAUUAGCAACCUAAAGAAACGAGCCUAUUCUCCACUUUGGAGCGAGAACUGCGUUUCUUAUCGUUAAGCCCCUAAUCCAAGAUAUUUUAGGCAGAAAAUGGUUUCUUUUUUGUUGUUGUUUUUUCUGCAACGAGUAUUCUUGGACUAGUGUGGCUUAAAUUCAAAGUGGCUUCGCGGUUUUCUUUUUUAUUUUUCUCUUUUUCGCAAUAUUUCCUUUUUCCCCCACUUUGAAUUAGUUCUGUAAGUACUUUUCAGCAGGAAAAUAGAUUCCAUUUUCCUGUUGUGUUAAAUACUUCUCAGAAAGUUACUGGCGCAAAAGUACGACGAUAAUGAAUUAUAGUAUAUACAUGCCUUAUAGUAUGCACGCCUUAUUUCAAGCUGCCUACCCUUCCUAACUAGAGCGCGCGCGCACAUAACCGUUCAAAAACCUGCAAGGGAAACCCCCGAAUGUGGAGUCUCGGUCAUGCCCCAAGCUUAACUUAACCUAGUGUGCCGAUCGCACCUGGUGAGCUUCCACAAACAGGGGUAAGGUUUGCAUGCCUUAUGGUAAUGUCUUCCAACGUCGAGCCGCCAUAACAGAGAGGGGACCUAAUCUCUGGUAGCGAACUGUUUUCAUAGUAUCCGGGGCAGAAAACUAACGUUCGAAACCAGCGAUAUACAUGCACAACGGGCGAUUUAUUAUUCACUAACUAAAGCCAGACUAUUUAUCAUUACAAUGAUUAUGUCAUUACAGUCCUAAGCUGAUCUUUCUGUGGAAACCGGAGUACCCAAAGAGAAUGCACAUCUUCCAGAAAAUUUUGUCCAAGAAUGAUCCACUACCGACGAUAUCCACCAAUCUUCUUACGGGUACCAUUUGCACCCUCUAAGCUAUGGAUACCAUUUGCAUCCAGUUUAGUUAUCCUACCCAGGGAAAACUAUGCCAGCUUUUCAACUAACAAAAUUUUGGCUAUACCCAUACAUUACGUACACAAAUAUACAGAUCAUGUAAUGGAUUAAUGUUAAGGUUAUAGGGUUAGAUUUAACCCCAAGCCAAAGCCUAACACAUUUCAUGAUAUUUCUAUACAUUUAUGAGCACAACAUAUUGAUAUAAACAAAAUUUUAAAGUCUGACAAGGUUUUUCUUGUCUGCCUAUAUUCUGGAUAUGUACUUGCAGCGCGUAGCGUUAUCCAUGCACAGACACGGAGACACCUAAGCAGUACAUUUACACAAAGAGAAGAACAUCGGCACGAACAAAUAGCUAGUGGGUCUCAGUACGAGUUACUAGAGUGAAAAAAUAAUGUUCACUCUUUUUUACUUUAUGUAGUAGUUUUGUAUUUGAAGUAAUUAAAUUACUCCAGG
rnacentral:lncRNA from 1 species